rnacentral:rRNA from 1 species
AUUGAACGCUGGCGGCAGGCCUAACACAUGCAAGUCGAGCGGAUGAAGGGAGCUUGCUCCUGGAUUCAGCGGCGGACGGGUGAGUAAUGCCUAGGAAUCUGCCUGGUAGUGGGGGAUAACGUCCGGAAACGGGCGCUAAUACCGCAUACGUCCUGAGGGAGAAAGUGGGGGAUCUUCGGACCUCACGCUAUCAGGUGAGCCUAGGUCGGAUUAGCUAGUUGGUGGGGUAAAGGCCUACCAAGGCGACGAUCCGUAACUGGUCUGAGAGGCUGAUCAGUCACACUGGAACUGAGCCACGGUCCAGACUCCUGAGGGAGGCAGCAGUGGGGAAUAUUGGACAAUGGGCGAAAGCCUGAUCCAGCCAUGCCGCGUGUGUGAAGAAGGUCUUCGGAUUGUAAAGCACUUUAAGUUGGGAGGAAGGGCAGUAAGUUAAUACCUUGCUGUUUUGACGUUACCAACAGAAUAAGCACCGGCUAACUUCGUG